UCAGAUGGUAAAGAAUCUGCCUGCAAUGCAGAAGACCCAGGUUCGAUCCCUGG
rnacentral:tRNA from 1 species